ACCUGUUUCACACGGACAUUUAUUGCAGACACACGCUGUAUUGGACCAGAGAAAAUAUUGCCAAGAACGACAGAGAAGCGUCUAAGUGCAGCCGAGCGAGUAGCCAGCGGAAGAAGCCUGUCCUCUUGGACCCGAAGAAGCUGAUGAAGAAGUUGAUCACCGUGGUGACGAAGAUGACACCCGUCACGACGUUGUUCAGGAUCCCGGCGACGAUCUGAAGUGCCAGCGAGAAGGAGAUGAGAGUCAGGACGGCUGCGUAGUACCUGAGAAGGUCCGUACCUGUAUCCCGCCCCCUGCUCGAUGACCGUCUUCAUGUGUGUGAUGUUGGCCAGGAAGAGAGCGAUGUCCAGCAUGCCCUCGGCCGCAGUUUUCUUGGUGGCAUACAGGUUCAUGUUCAGGUUAGAGG